rnacentral:miRNA from 7 species
UACAGUACUAUGAUAACUGAAG